rnacentral:lncRNA from 1 species
UUAAAUAGUUUUAGUAAUCUUAAAUUUACUUCUAAAAAUAUAUUUUGUAGAUCAUAAAUUUAAAUUUAGUAUAUUGGCCAUAUAAUUAGGUAUGAAAUAGGAGUUUGAUAUUUGUUGUUUGUUGCAGUAUUGAUAUAUACAUAUCCUAUAAUAUAGGAGUUUAAGUGGUUAUAGGGGUGGUUACGUUUUUUUUUUCCUUUAACAUGAAGGUAGUUAUGUUUUUGUAGAUGCAAUUAUAUUAUAUGUUAUACAGUUAUAUUUUAAAUGCAGUAUUUU